rnacentral:rRNA from 1 species
GAUGAACGCUGGCGGCGUGCCUAAUACAUGCAAGUCGAGCGAACAGACGAGGAGCUUGCUCCUCUGACGUUAGCGGCGGACGGGUGAGUAACACGUGGAUAACCUACCUAUAAGACUGGGAUAACUUCGGGAAACCGGAGCUAAUACCGGAUAAUAUAUUGAACCGCAUGGUUCAAUAGUGAAAGACGGUUUUGCUGUCACUUAUAGAUGGAUCCGCGCCGCAUUAGCUAGUUGGUAAGGUAACGGCUUACCAAGGCAACGAUGCGUAGCCGACCUGAGAGGGUGAUAGGCGACACGGGAACUGAGACGGGGUCCAGACUCCUACGGGACGCAGCAGUAGGGAACCUUACGCAGUGGUCGAAAGCCUGACGGAGCAAGGCCGCGUGAGUGAUGAAGGUCUUGGGUUCGUAAUACUCUGUUAUGAGGGAAGAACAAAUUUGUAAGUAACUAUGCACUUCUUGACGGUACCUAAUCAGAAAGCCACGGCUAACUACGUG